ensembl:lincRNA
AUAUAGUAUCACUCAAAAAUGAUCUUUUCAGUCUUUUACUUUUGAACUAAGACAAAACACGUAGAGAACUGCAGUACCAUUUGGUAAACAUUGUUAUGACUUUGAACAGCAGAAGGAGGUGGUGUUUCAUUCCAAAAUAUGAUGUCAGAUGGACAGUUUUCUUCACCAUAUUAUAUGUAUGGUGUACCCUAUGUGGAGCUUCAUCUUUAACUACUGAUGCACCAACCACACAGAUUUUACAAACAGCCAAUGAUGUUUGUACAAUAAAAACUAAAGGAUCUAUUGGCACACCUAUGACCACUAAACAAAAUCCCAAAUGUACAGCUGUGACUUUCACACCUACACUUCCUACAACAGGUCCAAAUUCAAUGUCUACAAUGUUACCUUUGAUUACAACAGAAUCUGUAAUUAUAACAACAACAGAUAUGAUUCCCACGUCUAUACUCGGAUCCUUAUCAGCUACAACGGCACCUCCAACAGCGACAGAUGCUGCUUCAACAACAAAUCUUACUUCAACAUUAACAGAAUCUUUGACAACAGAAACAUCAACAACUGUAGAUGUGAACCUCACAACCACUCUUAUACCAUCAGAAACUACAACAACAACACUAUCUUCAACAUCUGAAACUGCAGAAACCACAACUGUGACUCCCACAAUCAUUCUUAUAUCAUCAGAAGCUACAACAGUCAGUGCUACUUCUACAACAACAACACCAUCUUUACCAACUGAAACUUUAACAGACACAGUUGGAUCUUCCACAAACGCUCCUAUAUCCUCAGAAGCUGCAACAACAGUUAGUGCUACUACAACAACAGCAUCUUCAGCAACUGAAGCUUUCACAACAUCAUAUGUGGAGCCUAAUACCACACCUACAUUCCCAGAAUCCACAACUGCACCUCAAGCCACAGAGAGUACUAGUGCCACAAUCCCACCUUCAACAACUGAAACUUUAACACCUACAGCUGUAUCUUCCACAGUCACUUUUAUAACCACAGAAACUACAUUAACAGAUGCUACUUCAGCAACUACACUAUCUUCCACAUCUGAAACUGCAGAAACCACAUUUGUGACUCCCACAACCACUCUCAUAUCCUCAGAAGCUUCAACAGUCAGUGCUACUUCUACAACAACACCACCAUCUUUACCAACUGAAACUUUAACAGACACAGUUGGAUCUUCCACAAACGCUCCUAUAUCCUCAGAAGCUGCAACAACAGUUAGUGCUACUACAACAACAGCAUCUUCAGCAACUGAAGCUUUCACAACAUCAUAUGCGGAGCCUAAUACCACACCUACAUUCCCAGAAUCCACAACUGCACCUCAAGUCACAGAAAGUGCUGGUGCCACAAUCCCAUCUUCAACAACUGAAACUUCAACAGACACAGUUGUAUCUUCCACAACCGCUCCUAUAUCCUCAAAAGCUACAACAGUUAGUGCUACUACAACAACAGCAUCUUCAGCAACUGAAGCUUUCACAACAUCAUAUGUGGAGCCUAAUACAACACCUAAAUUCCCAGAAUCCACAACUGCACCUCAAGCCACAGAAAGUGCUGGUGCCACAAUCCCAUCUUCAACAACUGAAACUUCAACAGACACAGUUGUAUCUUCCACAACCGCUCCUAUAUCCUCAGAAGCCACAACAACAGUUAGUGCUACUACAACAACAGCAUCUUCAGCAACUGAAGCUUUCACAACAUCAUAUGCGGAGCCUAAUACAACACCUAAAUUCCCAGAAUCCACAACUGCACCUCAAGCCACAGAGAGUACUAGUGCCACAAUCCCACCUUCAACAACUGAAACUUUAACACCUACAGCUGUAUCUUCCACAGUCACUUUUAUAACCACAGAAACUACAUUAACAGAUGCUACUUCAGCAACUACACUAUCUUCCACAUCUGAAACUGCAGAAACCACAUUUGUGACUCCCACAACCACUCUCAUAUCCUCAGAAGCUUCAACAGUCAGUGCUACUUCUACAACAACACCAUCUUCAACAACUGAAACUUCAACAUCUACAGUUGUAUCUUCCACAGUCACUUUUAUACCCACAGAAACUACAUCAACAGAUGCUACUCCAGCAACAGCACUGUCUUCAACAUCUGAAACUUCAGAAACCACAUUUGUAACAUCCACAACCACUCUCAUAUCCUCAGAAGCUUCAACAGUCAGUGCUACUUCUACAACAACACCAUCUUCAACAACUGAAACUUCAACAGACACAGUUGUAUCUUCCACAGUCACUUUUAUACCCACAGAAACUACAUCAGUUAAUGCUACUCCAGCAACAGCACUGUCUUCAACAUCUGAAACUUCAGAAACCACAUUUGUAACAUCCACAACCACUCUCAUAUCCUCAGAAGCUUCAACAGUCAGUGCUACUUCUACAACAACACCAUCUUCAACAACUGAAACUUCAACAUCUACAGUUGUAUCUUCCACAGUCACUUUUAUACCCACAGAAACUACAUCAACAUAUGCUAUUCCAGCAACAGCACUGUCUUCAACAUCUGAAACUCCAGAAACCACAUUUGUGACUCCCACAACCACUCUCAUAUCCUCAGAAGCCUCAAUAGUCAGUGCUACUUCUACAACAACACCAUCUUCAACAACUGAAACUUCAACAGACACAGUUGUAUCUUCCACAACCGCUCCUAUAUCCUCAGAAGCCACAACAACAGUUAGUGCUACUACAACAACAGCAUCUUCAGCAACUGAAGCUUUCACAACAUCAUAUGUGGAGCCUAAUACCACAGCUUUAUUCUCAGGAUCCACAACUGCACCUCAAGUCACAGAAAGUGCUGGUGCCACAAUCCCAUCUUCAACAACUGAAGCAUCAACAUCUACAGUUGUAUCUUCCACAGUCACUUUUAUACCCACAGAAACUACAUCAACAGAUGCUACUCCAGCAACAGCACUGUCUUCAACAUCUGAAACUGCAGAAACCACAUUUGUGACACCCACAACCACUCUCAUAUCCUCAGAAGCUUCAACAGUCAGUGCUACUUCUACAACAACACCAUCUUCAACAACUGAAACUUCAACAGACACAGUUGUAUCUUCCACAACCGCUCCUAUAUCCUCAGAAGCUACAACAACAGUUAGUGCUACUACAACAACAGCAUCUUCAGCAACUGAAGCUUUCACAACAUCAUAUGUGGAGCCUAAUACCACACCUUUAUUCUCAGGAUCCACAACUGCACCUCAAGCCACAGAAAGUGCUGGUGCCACAAUACUACCUUCAACAACUGAAACUUCAGUGGCCGCUGUUGUGACUCCUGUAACCACUCAUAUAUCCUCAGAAACUACAACAAUAAAUGUUACUCCAACAACAGUUUUGUCAACUACUGUGCCUUUCGAAACCACAGAUGUAAACCCCAAUACAAUUCCUGCAUCAUUUACAGCUGCACCUCCAGCAACAGAAAAUCCUGAUAAAACAACUCCAUUAUCAACAACAAAUGAGGUUUCAGUAACAACAGAUGUAACUCCUACUUCCAAGUCUUCAUCCUCAGAACCUGCACCUUCAACCUCCUCAAAUGCUGCUCCUACUGCAUCUUCCACCAGUGAAGGUUAUAGCACAACAUCUGUGACCUCCAUCCCUACUCUAAUACCAUCUGAGAUUACAGCAACAAAUGAAGCUUCAAUAUAUUCAACUUCACUAGUAUCCUUAAACACAACAAAUAUGUAUCCCACCAAUACACCAGUUUACAAGACAACAACUAAAACUGGCACAGCAACAACAUUUGUCACUCCUACAACUAUGCCAAUGUUCUCAGAAAUUACGACAUCCUUUCUAGCAGCCACAUCUUUGCAAAAUGAAACUACAAAUGCAGUGACUUCAAUUCAAAUUACAGACACUCAAAAGCCAACAAUGUCAAUAACAAGCCCUGAACCGACGGUCAUAAUUGUUACACAAGAGACCACUAUAUCAUUGCCAGUGUCAACAACUGAUUCUACCCAAAGAACAAACCAAACAACAGCUGUGGUCACAAGCAGACUGUUAUUCAACUCUUCAUCUCCAGUCCCCAGUGAAGCUCAGGUCCUGAAUGCUGUCAACGCUCUUCUCACAUCCAGACAGUUGUGGCUUGAUAAAUCAGUGGAAAUUGUCAAUGUCACCUUCGAGGAACUCUCAGACACCUCAUAUGCCAUCAUCUUUAUAUUUGAUCUGACAAAUAUCAGCAUUCCUGAAGACCCUGUACUCAAAAACAAGAGCUACAAUCAAGUGGAAAGUAAUGUCAAUAAUGCACUGAAUACUCUUCUGAAUGAACCUACUAGUGCACCUUUACAACCCAAAUCAGCAAACUUCACGAGCACAUCUAACCAGAUUGAGGGCAUUAUGGGAUACACAUUCCUGGAUGAAGAUGUCAUCCAACCAGUCAGCUUCCUAAAUGAACUUCGUUUACAGAAAGCAUGGACGACUACAACAGCCAGUUCCACGGUGACUCCUGCAAUUGCAAUAUCUGGUCCAGCAGUGAUCACAAGCAGGCUGUUGUUCAACUCCUCAUCUCCAGUCCCCAGUGAAGCUCUGGUCCUAAGUGCUGUCAACACACUUCUCAACUCCAGAGAGUCACAGCUCGAUCCAUCAGUGAAAAUUGUCAAUAUUACAUAUGAGAAACUUUCAGACACCUCAUAUGCCAUUAUCUUUAUAAUUAAUCUGACAAUUAUAAGCAUGCGUAAAGACCGUGUACUGAACAACAAUAACUACAAACAAGUGGAGGAUAGCAUAAAUAAUGCAGUAAGUGUUCUCUAUUAUUAA